rnacentral:tRNA from 1 species
GGCUGUAGCUCAGUGGCAGAGUACUUGCCUGGCAUGUGUGAGGCACUGAGUUCAAUCCUUAGCACCA